AUUGAACGCUGGCGGCAGGCCUAACACAUGCAAGUCGAGCGGAUGAAGGGAGCUUGCUCCUGGAUUCAGCGGCGGACGGGUGAGUAAUGCCUAGGAACCUGCCUGUUAGUGGGGGCUAACGUCCGGAAACGGGCGCUAAUACCGCAUAAGUCCAUAGGGAGAACGUGGGGGAUCUUCGGACCUCACGCUAUUAGAUGAGCCUAUGUCGGAUUAGCUAGUUGGUGGGGUAAAGGCCUACCAAGGCGACGAUCCGUAACUGGUCUGAGAGGAUGAUCAGUCACACUGGAACUGAGACACGGUCCAGACUCCUACGGGAGGCAGCAGUGGGGAAUAUUGGACAAUGGGCGAAAGCCUGAUCCAGCCAUGCCGCGUGUGUGAAGAAGGUCUUCGGAUUGUAAAGCACUUUAAGUUGGGAGGAAGGGCAGUAAGUUAAUACCUUGCUGUUUUGACGUUACCAAUAGAAUAAGCACCGGCUAACUUCGUG
rnacentral:rRNA from 1 species